rnacentral:rRNA from 1 species
UGAGGAAUCUUCGUCAAUGGGCGCAAGCCUGAACGAGCAACGCCGCGUGUGGGAAGACGGCCUUCGGGUUGUAAACCACUUUUCUCUGGAACGAGAUUUGGACGGUACCAGAGGAAGAAGUCUCGGCUAACUACGUGCCAGCAGCCGCGGUAAUACGUAGGAGACGAGCGUUGUCCGGAGUUACUGGGCGUAAAGGGUGCGCAGGCGGUCCGUUUUGUGGGUGGUGAAAUCUCCUGGCUCAACUGGGAGGGGGCCAACCAAACGGGCGGACUUGAGGCGUGGAGAGGGACGUGGAAUUCCGGGUGGAGCGGUGAAAUGCGUAGAGAUCCGGAGGAACACCGACGGCGAAGGCAGCGUCCUGGCCACGACCUGACGCUCAGGCACGAAAGCUGGGGGAGCAAACAGGAUUAGAUACCCCCGUAGUCC